UACGAAGGGGGCUAGCGUUGCUCGGAAUCACUGGGCGUAAAGGGUGCGUAGGCGGGGCUUUAAGUCAGGGGUGAAAUCCUGGAGCUCAACUCCAGAACUGCCUUUGAUACUGAGGAUCUUGAGUUCGGGAGAGGUGAGUGGAACUGCGAGUGUAGAGGUGGAAUUCGUAGAUAUUCGCAAGAACACCAGUGGCGAAGGCGGCUCACUGGCCCGAUACUGACGCUGAGGCACGAAAGCGUGGGGAGCAAACAGG
rnacentral:rRNA from 1 species